GGUGUGUUGGCGUAGUGGUUAACGCGUCGGCGCGUGAUCUCACACGCGGCGGAGGUCAAGGGUUCGAAUCCCCUACAUGCCU
rfam:Calocera viscosa TTFC12733 unplaced genomic scaffold CALVIscaffold_13, whole genome shotgun sequence.